rnacentral:rRNA from 1 species
GACGUAGGUGGCGAACGUUAUCCGGAAUUAUUGGGCGUAAAGGGUGCGUAGGCGGCAUAAUAAGUUAUUGGCGGGAAAUCGAGGCUCAACCUCGUGGAAACUGAUAAUACUGUUUUGCUUGAGUACAGGAGAGGUUAACGGAACUCCAUGUGGAGCGGUAAAAUGUGUAGAUAUAUGGAAGAACAUCAAUAACGGCGAAGGCAGUUAACUAUUCUGUUACUGACGUUGAGGCACGAAAGCGUGGGGAGCAAAAAGGAGUUA